rnacentral:rRNA from 1 species
GAUGAACGCUAGCGGCAGGCUUAAUACAUGCAAGUCGUGGGGCAGCAGGUUUGUAGCAAUACAGAUGCUGGCGACCGGCAAACGGGUGCGGAACACGUACAGAACCUUCCUUUGAGCGGGGAAUAGCCCAGAGAAAUUUGGAUUAAUACCCCAUAGUAUAAUGAAGUGGCAUCACUUUAUUAUUAAAGAUUUAUCACUCGAAGAUGGCUGUGCGGCUGAUUAGGUAGUUGGCGGGGUAAAGGCCCACCAAGCCUGCGAUCAGUAACUGGUGUGAGAGCACGACCAGUCACACGGGCACUGAGACACGGGCCCGACUCCUACGGGAGGCAGCAGUAAGGAUAUUGGUCAAUGGAGGCAACUCUGAACCAGCCAUGCCGCGUGGAGGAUGAAGGUCCUCUGGAUUGUAAACUUCUUUUAUAUGGGACGAAAAAAGGCUUUUCUAAGUCGUCUGACGGUACCAUAUGAAUAAGC